AGGGCUUAUUUUAUGGGUAGGUCUUAUUUUCGGGGAAACACAGUAGUUGCUAUUUGAGAGGUAAGAACAUUCCUUCUCAAGACUGAAUUUUGCACUUCCUGCUUACAUUUGGUAAAGAGUGACAUGCUAUCACCACCACAUACAAAGCAGAAGCGAGAGUGAGAGCCUGGGGCAGGGGCGAGGCUCGGCCUCAGCCGUGCACGCUGCGGGGCAGUAUUGCUGUGCAGGUGCAUUUGCCAGCUGCACGCAGCUCUCCGGGAGCAACUUCGCUGGGGCUGACUUUGCUACGAGGAAGAGGAAGGCAAUGUCACAUCCUCCUGCCCUGUUUGGAGCCUGCUAUCUCUGGCACCUCCUGUGAGUGGAGUGAGGAGAAAUGAACAGUUAUGCAUGCAGUUUCGUUUGGCUCAAGUCAUCUCAGCAUCUGUAAAGCAAGGAUUCAUCCAUCACCAAAUGAAGUCAUUAUCGAAGCAGCUGUUACCCAGACAUGACGCUCAGCUGGGGAGGUGGGAGAGCAAUUUAUCUCUUAGCAGCAGCUUGCCAACAGCCAACCUGCCAUUUACAGAGGAACAGGAGUCCUCGGAAUGUAAAGUUCAGGCAGACAUAUCAAAAUGGCUCUUUAAGUCUUAUUUAAAAUAAUGUCUAUUGUUUUUAAUAUAUAAAAUACUCAGAGAAAAUUUAGAAAGUUCAAAAGCAUGUACACAGAAAAAAAAAAAGCCUUCCAAUCAGGAAGAUAAUCAUCACUAAUAUUUGAACAUAUUUUCCUUCCAGGCAAAUAAAAUUGAGAAUACACUGGAUAUUUAUAUAUAUAUUUGUAUCACCAAUUGAAUGAAGUCAGCCAGAGAGAAUGCGUCUAUUCACACACCUGCCCCCAGCAUAGCCAGGUUUCCUUGGAGUCUCCUUCAGUGUUCCUGGGUCUCUGCUAGGCUCAGCAUCUCGUUCCUGUGACCACUCACUACGACCUCCGGAAAAGCCCCUUGGCAGGAGUUGGUGCUCUUGACUUCACACUCCAGACCAGCGUUUUGAGUUCUGGAAGGGUGACUGGGCUGCAGCUUUGACCUCCAAGCUCAGUUAUGAGGACCUCAGUUCUCAUCCCUGAAGAAUCCCUGGGCCUGGAAGACUCCACAGCCUCUACAAACAGCAACUCACUUGUUUUCUUGUGCUUUUAAUUAUUGAUAUUAUAUUUUUUUAAAUAUC